GUGCUUGCUCUGACAGCACAUGUACUAAAAUUGGAAAGAUACAGAAAAGAUUAGCAUGGCACUUGCACAAGGCUGACAUGCAAAUUCGUGAAGCGUUCCAUAAAAAA
rnacentral:snRNA from 1 species